rnacentral:rRNA from 1 species
AGUGAACGCUGGCGGCGUGCUUAACACAUGCAAGUCGAACGAGAACGGGUUAUAGCUUGCUAUAAUUGUCAGCUAAGUGGCGCACGGGUGAGUAAUGUAUAGGUAAUAUGCCUCUUACUAAGGGAUAACAAAUGGAAACGUUUGCUAAUACCUUAUACUCCUUAUUAACAUAAGUUAAUAAGGGAAAGAUUUAUUGGUAAGAGAUUAGCCUGUAUUGUAUCAGUUAGUUGGUGGGGUAAUGGCUUACCAGGACUAUGACACAUAACUGGUUUGAGAGGAAGAUCAGUCACACUGGAACUGAGACACGGUCCAGACUCCUACGGGAGGCAGCAGUGGGGAAUAUUGCACAAUGGACGAAAGUCUGAUGCAGCAACGCCGCGUGGAGGAUGACACAUUUCGGUGCGUAAACUCCUUUUAUAUGAGAAGAUAAUGACGGUAUUAUAUGAAUAAGCACCGGCUAACUCCGUGCCAGCCGCCGCAGUAA